CGCCCGCUCAGAAACUCAAAGGAUUGACGGGGGCCCGCACAAGCGGCGGAGCAUGCGGAUUAAUUCGAUGCAACGCGAAGAACCUUACCAAGGCUUGACAUAUACGAGAACGCCGCAGAAAUGUGGAACUCUUUGGACACUCGUAUACAGGUGGUGCAUGGUUGUCGUCAGCUCGUGUCGUGAGAUGUUGGGUUAAGUCCCGCAACGAGCGCAACCCUUGUCUUAUGUUGCCAGCACGUGAUGGUGGGGACUCGUAAGAGACUGCCGGGGUCAACUCGGAGGAAGGUGGGGACGACGUCAAGUCAUCAUGCCCCUUAUGUCCAGGGCUUCACACAUGCUACAAUGGCCAGUACAGAGGGCUGCGAGACCGUGAGGUGGAGCGAAUCCCUUAAAGCUGGUCUCAGUUCGGAUCGGGGUCUGCAACUCGACCCCGUGAAGUCGGAGUCGCUAGUAAUCGCAGAUCAGCAACGCUGCGGUGAAUACGUUCCCGGGCCUU
rnacentral:rRNA from 1 species